rnacentral:rRNA from 1 species
GUCCUUUAGAUUUAGAAUUUAAGGUUUAAUCUGCCCACUGAUUAAUUAAAUGGCCGCAGUAAUUUGACUGUGCAAAGGUAGCAUAAUCAAUAGUUUUUUAAUUAAAAGCUUGAAUGAAUGAUUGGACGAGAUAAAAUCUGUCUUUAAUUAAUAAUUAGAAUUUAAUUUUUAAGUUAAAAAGCUUAAAUAUUUAUAAAAGACGAGAAGACCCUAUAGAUCUUUAUUUAAUUAAUUUUAUUUUUAAUAAGGAUUAUUUUAUUAAUUAAUUUUAAUUAAAUUUUAUUGGGGUAAUAAAAAGAUAAAAAUAAUUCUUUUAUUAAUUUACAAAGAUUAUUGAUUAUAUGAUCCUUAAAUUAAGAUUAAAAGAUUAAGUUACCUUAGGGAUAACAGCGUAAUUUUUUUAGAGAGUUCAUAUCGAUAAAAAAGUUUGCGACCUCGAUGUUGGAUUAAAAAUUAUUUUAGGUGAAGAAGUUUAGAAAUUUGGUCUGUUCGACCAUUAAAUUUUUACA